GCUUCUUAUAGCAUGUAAGAUGGCACUGAGCAUUGUGUUUAACUCGGUCCUCCACAGUGGUAUUCUCCAAAGAUUCAGCUACGAGAUGUUACUCUUUAU